rnacentral:rRNA from 1 species
AUUGAACGCUGGCGGCAGGCCUAACACAUGCAAGUCGAGCGGAUGAAGGGAGCUUGCUCCUGGAUUCAGCGGCGGACGGGUGAGUAAUGACUAGGAAUCUGCCUGGUAGUGGGGGAUAACGUCCGGAAACGGGCGCUAAUACCGCAUACGUCCUGAGGGAGAAAGUGGGGGAUCUUCGGACCUCACGCUAUCAGAUGAGCCUAGGUCGGAUUAGCUAGUUGGCGGGGUAAAGGCCUACCAAGGCGACGAUCCGUAACUGGUCUGAGAGGAUGAUCAGUCACACUGGAACUGAGACACGGUCCAGACUCCUACGGGAGGCAGCAGUGGGGAAUAUUGGACAAUGGGCGAAAGCCUGAUCCAGCCAUGCCGCGUGUGUGAAGAAGGUCUUCGGAUUGUAAAGCACUUUAAGUUGGGAGGAAGGGCAGUAAGUUAAUACCUUGCUGUUUUGACGUUACCAACAGAAUAAGCACCGGCUAACUUCGUG